ACGCACGCUGGCGGCGUGCUUCACACAUGCCAGUCGCACGGAAAGGCCCUGCUUGCAGGGUGCUCGAGUGGCGAACGGGUGAGUAACACGUGGGUGAUCUGCCCCUUACUUUGGGAUAAGCCUGGGAAACUGGGUCUAAUACUGGAUAGGACCAUGCUGUAGGUGGUGUGGUGGAAAGAUUAGUUUCGGUAAGGGAUGAGCUCGCGGCCUAUCAGCUUGUUGGUGGGGUAAUGGCCUACCAAGGCGUCGACGGGUAGCCGGCCUGAGAGGGUGGACGGCCACAUUGGGACUGAGAUACGGCCCAGACUCCUACGGGAGGCAGCAGUGGGGAAUAUUGCACAAUGGGCGCAAGCCUGAUGCAGCGACGCCGCGUGGGGGAUGACGGCCUUCGGGUUGUAAACUCCUUUCAGCCAUGACGAAGCCCUUGUGGUGACGGUAGUGGUAGAAGAAGCACCGGCUAACUACGUG
rnacentral:rRNA from 1 species